rnacentral:rRNA from 1 species
GUCGUGAGAUGUUGGGUUAAGUCCGCAACGAGCGCAACCCCUGCAUUCAGUUGCCAACGGUAAGGCCGGGCACUCUGGAUGGACUGCCGGCGGAACAGGGCCGGAGGAAGGUGGGAUGACGUCAAGUCAUCAUGGCCCUUAUGUCCAGGGCGACACACGUGCUACAAUGGCCGGCACAGCGGGAAGCGAGGGGCGACCUUGAGCGGAUCCCUCAAAGCCGGUCUCAGUUCGGAUUGCAGUCUGCAACUCGACUGCAUGAAGUUGGAAUCGCUAGUAAUCGUGGAUCAGCCAAGCCGCGGUGAAUACGUUCCCGGGCCUU